rnacentral:rRNA from 1 species
GACGAACGCUGGCGGCGUGCUUAACACAUGCAAGUCGAACGGAAAGGCCCUGCUUUUGUGGGGUGCUCGAGUGGCGAACGGGUGAGUAACACGUGAGUAACCUGCCCUUGACUUUGGGAUAACUUCAGGAAACUGGGGCUAAUACCGGAUAGGAGCUCCUGCUGCAUGGUGGGGGUUGGAAAGUUUCGGCGGUUGGGGAUGGACUCGCGGCUUAUCAGCUUGUUGGUGGGGUAGUGGCUUACCAAGGCUUUGACGGGUAGCCGGCCUGAGAGGGUGACCGGCCACAUUGGGACUGAGAUACGGCCCAGACUCCUACGGGAGGCAGGAGUGGGGAAUAGUGCACAAUGGGCGGAAGCCGGAUGCAGCCACGCCGCGUGCGGGAUGACGGCCUUCGGGUUGUAAACCGCUUUCGCCUGUGACGAAGCGUGAGUGACGGUAAUGGGUAAAGAAGCACCGGCUAACUACGU